GACGAACGCUGGCGGCGUGCUUAACACAUGCAAGUCGAGCGAUGAAGCUUCUUCGGAAGUGGAUUAGCGGCGGACGGGUGAGUAACACGUGGGUAACCUGCCUCAUAGAGGGGAAUAGCCUUUCGAAAGGAAGAUUAAUACCGCAUAAGAUUGUAGUACCGCAUGGUACAGCAAUUAAAGGAGUAAUCCGCUAUGAGAUGGACCCGCGUCGCAUUAGCUAGUUGGUGAGGUAACGGCUCACCAAGGCGACGAUGCGUAGCCGACCUGAGAGGGUGAUCGGCCACAUUGGGACUGAGACACGGCCCAGACUCCUACGGGAGGCAGCAGUGGGGAAUAUUGCACAAUGGGGGAAACCCUGAUGCAGCAACGCCGCGUGAGUGAUGACGGUCUUCGGAUUGUAAAACUCUGUCUUUAGGGACGAUAAUGACGGUACCUAAGGAGGAAGCCACGGCUAACUACGUGCCAGCAGCCGCGGUAAUACGUAGGUGGCAAGCGUUGUCCGGAUUUACUGGGCGUAAAGGGAGCGUAGGUGGAUAUUUAAGUGGGAUGUGAAAUACUCGGGCUUAACCUGGGUGCUGCAUUCCAAACUGGAUAUCUAGAGUGCAGGAGAGGAAAGGAGAAUUCCUAGUGUAGCGGUGAAAUGCGUAGAGAUUAGGAAGAAUACCAGUGGCGAANGCGCCUUUCUGGACUGUAACUGACACUGAGGCUCGAAAGCGUGGGGAGCAAACAGGAUUAGAUACUCUGGUAGUCCACGCCGUAAACGAUGAAUACUNGGUGUAGGGGUUGUCAUGACCUCUGUGCCGCCGCUAACGCAUUAAGUAUUCCGCCUGGGGAGUACGGUCGCAAGAUUAAAACUCAAAGGAAUUGACGGGGGCCCGCACAAGCAGCGGANCAUGUGGUUUAAUUCGAAGCAACGCNAAGAANCCUUACCUAGACUUGACAUCUCCUGAAUUACUCUGUAAUGG
rnacentral:rRNA from 1 species